ACCUAGUCAUAAGGGAGGCAGCAGUAGGGAAUAUUCCGCAAUGGGCGAAAGCCUGACGGAGCAACGCCGCGUGAGUGAUGAAGGUCUUCGGAUUGUAAAACUCUGUUAUUAGGGAAGAACAUAUGUGUAAGUAACUGUGCACAUCUUGACGGUACCUAAUCAGAAAGCCACGGCUAACUACGUGCCAGCAGCCGCGGUAAUACGUAGGUGGCAAGCGUUAUCCGGAAUUAUUGGGCGUAAAGCGCGCGUAGGCGGUUUUUUAAGUCUGAUGUGAAAGCCCACGGCUCAACCGUGGAGGGUCAUUGGAAACUGGAAAACUUGAGUGCAGAAGAGGAAAGUGGAAUUCCAUGUGUAGCGGUGAAAUGCGCAGAGAUAUGGAGGAACACCAGUGGCGAAGGCGACUUUCUGGUCUGUAACUGACGCUGAUGUCGAAAAACCGGUG
rnacentral:rRNA from 1 species